CGCCUUUGACCCGAACUGUAGCCCAGUGAGCCGUCACGGCCGAACCGAGCAGCUGCGCCAUUCUCCUCGCGCGGACGCGGUCGUCUCCGUCGUCCCCGUCGCACUGGUCGCAACAGAGCAUCCGAUCCUGGAAAUUUCGCCGCCUGCUCGUGGACCAUUCACCGAGACUACCAUGAACAUCAUAACCAGAACUAUGCUAACCAUCCACGACUUGGACCACUAGAUUUUCACCCCAGAUGCCAAAUUGCACUAAAGAGACUCUAACGAGGAAAUAUCUGCUAUCUGGAUAUAAAGAAAAGAAACGGUUGAGGGCCUUGAGCUGCAUCAUUAUGUUCUGUUAUUUUGUUCAAACCAAACUUAAUUAUGUUUUUAUUUAUUUUUUUUCACUCAUAAUCCCAGCUACAGGAGUAGGAUAAGUAUACAAUAUUCACUAUUUUUUGUGUGUUUCUCAAGAUGCUAGAGAAAUCUCACUAUCCCAGAUUCAAAGUGUUAACAAGACAGACAUCCUUAAUUGCAAGGAGGUCACCUGCUUCUUUUGUUAGAGUUUAAAACUUAGAAUUCAGGGGGAUUACCGCGUGAGUAAAUUUUCACGGUGCUCCAACAAACCCAUUUUUACACUGGCCAAACACAAAAUCAGAUGGGUAAAAAGAAAUUAGUAAGACGCGAUGCUCACCUUACUACAUUAGCAACUUGUUUACCCACUUGGAACUACGUAAUGAGCACGCUAAGUUGGAUGAGAUUGAGGCCAUUGGCUUUGAUUUCCUGCGGCGGGUACCGCUAUGGCAUGUGAAGCAGAGCAUCAUGCUCCAAUUAGCUAGGGCCUAUGACGUGGACUCGAACACUCUCAGGCUCGACGCAGGGACAUUCGCGUUAUCGCGGAACUGAUCGACAGUGUAUUCGGCAUACCUUCUGGAGGUUAGUCGAAGUUAUGUAAGAUGUAAAAAUUUCUAUGCGUUGCUUUUUGUUUUUUUUGUUGACAUUGACUGAUUGUUGUACAAUGUCUCGUUAACUUAGGGGACUUAAUCCCGGAACUGCAGAAAAAAAUGCAUCGCAUUUGUCAAUUAAGAGUUUUCCAGAAGAAAACUACAACACAACUGCGGGAUUUUGUCUUUGCCUGUCCAAUGGAGACCGAGCAAUAGAGGAUGACCUUUAGACGAUACUUUAUCCUGGUGGUUUUGAAGAUGUUUCUUAGCCCCACAAGCCAGCAGAUUAUUUUUCCGUGGCACCUUCCUCCGAUAUUGGAUGUUUCAAACCCAAAAAGAUUUCACUAGUCGUAUCAGAUAUUAAAGUGGUUGCGAGAUGCAAUAAGGAAAUUCUAAGACCAGAACUGAAAAACAUGCGGCGGGUGCAUGUUCGUAUUGCUGGUAUCGCAAAUAAAUUUUCUAAAUUUAAAAAAACAUAUAACUUAAAUUUAAGUUACUUGGGUAAAGAUUCUAUACUUUUCAGCGUUUAAAGCAUGGUCCGUUACAUGCAUGUAACGGACAAUGUUUUAAGCGCUGAAAGUACAGAACCUAUACACAAGUAACUUAAAUAUUAGGAUUUACACUUUAAGACGUACAUGUUUUUUAAAUUUAGGAAAUUUAUUUGCGAUACCAGCAACACGAACUUGCACCCGCCGCAUGUUUUCUGAAUUUCCUUAUUGCAUUUCGCAAUCAAUUUAAUAUCUAAUACGGCCAGUGGAAUCUUCUUGGGUUCGAGACAUCCAAUAUCGGAGGGAAGUACCACGGAUAAAUAGUCUACUGACUUGUGAGGCUAAGAAACAUCUUCAAAACCAACAGGAUGAAAUAUCGUCUAAAGGUUAUCCUCUGUUGCUCGGUCUCCAUUGGACAGGCAAAGACAAAGUCCCGCAGUUGUGUUGUAGUUUUCUUCUGGAACUCUCUUAAUUUCCAAAUGAGAUGCAUUUUUUUCUGCAGUUCUGGGAUUGGGUCCCCUACGUUAACAAGACAUUGUACAACAAUCAAUCAGUGUCAACAAACGAAAAACAAAAACAACGCAUAGGAAUUUUUACAUCUUACAUAACUUCGACUAACCUCGAGAAGGUAUGCCGAAUACACUGCCGAUCAAUUCGGCGGUAACGCGAAUGUCCCCUGCGUCGACCCUGAGAGUGUUUGAGUCCGUCAUAGGCCCUAGCUAGUUGGAGCAUGAUGCUCUGCUUUACAAACGGUUUAGAAUUUCGUUUGGAACCCAUAGAAGGAGACGACGCACCACGGUGGAAGAGAUCGAGUGAUUGAACUCCAAAACCCUCAUCAGAAUUUUUCGAUUCCAAUGGAGGAGAAACACCGCGAUGCCGCAUCUCCAACUCCUUCCACCACCACCGACUCACCUACAUCAACGUGCCACCGCGCCGGAGCUCUGAAGCGCAAGGUCAGCUCCCUCUCACUAUAGCAUGUCAAAUCCACGCGAUGGCAUUGCUGCGUCGUCUUCCCCUGCAAAUUCUGCUUUUGCUCCGGUGGAUGUGAAGCACUCAGCACAGUUUGGGCGUGGACUCAGUGCUGCUGGCUAAGGAGAUCUGAGAGAAGAGCAAAACAGAGAGAUUCAAAAAGGAGAUAGAGCUCGCCUCGCCGUCGUCGUUGCCGUCGCCACCACAGUUCAUCGCCUCUCCAGAUCUGGUCGCAACACCCAAGCCUCUGAGGAUGUUCCAUUACGAUCUCCUCAACGAGACACAGAACAAGCUCGAUUACAUCCUCUCUCUCUCUCACUGUCGAGAGCUUCCUCGAGCGCCGCCUCCAUAUUCUCGUCUUCAAGUCCGGCAUGGCCAAGUCCAUCCAUUAGUGCAUAUUAGGGCAUAGAAGAAGCUCUCAAUUGUUGGAUUGUGGAGAGUAAAAAGAAAGCCUCAGUGGAGACACAACUCAAGAUAAUUGAGGAAAACUUGAAAAGAAAGAAAGCAGAAUAUGCAGAAAAUAUGAAGAAUAAGAUAGCUGAUAUUCAUAGGUCAGUAGAAGAGAAAAAGGCAAUGAUUGAAGCUCAAAAGAAGGAAGAAUUUAUCGAGUUAGAGGAAACAGCUGCAAAAUUUUGUAGUAGUGGUCCUACACCAGCCAAAUUCUUUGCAUGUUUUAAAGCAUAAGUUUUCCUUUUUUUUUUUUCUAUUUAGCUAACUACAAAAAGAUCAGAACAUCAUUGGUGUGGUUAUUACUUGUUAAUAUUCAUUUAAAAAUUUUCU